UCACUUUCAACUCACCCAAAUCUUAACUUUAUUCACUAACAACUGCAAAAUUCACUCUCAUCUCACCCAUUCUCAACUUCACUCCCACUCACGUCCUGUCAUUCGCGUCGUUCGCUUUUGUUCGCAUCAUCAACGGCAGCCGCGUCGCCAUUUGCUCCAUAAGCAACGUCCACCACACCGUUAGUGACGUAUGCGCCAUCUCUAUCUAGCCCAUGAUCCUCGAGAGCACUGAAAUUUCAAGUGUGUUAGUGCAAGUUUGAGGACACUUCUCACCCUUUUUUCACUCAAUCUUCACUUGUUUUCAUUUGCGUUCUCACAACCAAUGAAUCUCUCAAUUUUGUCUUCCAUUCGCGUGCCCCUCGCCGACCGUUCUCCACCCCCAAUGCAGUUUGCACAGCAGCAACCACUCCACCCUCAAUCCUCCAUUCUCGUCUCCCAUUCAGACAACAUCAGGACAUUCGUGUAGCAGUAAUUUGCAUAACAGGUCACGUCGGAGGUCGCGUAGCAGUUCAUCUUGUUUUAGCAGUUCAGUUCUUCCAUUCUAAAGUUAAGAUCAUAUGAAGCUCUUCAAUUAAUUGCUUUUGGGGUAGGACAAAUUGUUAUUGCUCGAGUAGGACAAAUUCUGCCUAUUUUGCUCAUUUGCCAAAGGCCAAUUGUUCUUAAUGUUUGGAGAGGAAGAUUCAUUACACUAGUUUUACCUACUUCAAACUUUAGGUGGAAAGGAGGUGGACAAACUUCAGGUAGAUCCUUUCUUUUUCGUGGUGGUUUUUAAGAUUAUUUAAUAUUCAUAUUUUGAGUUGUGUGUUCACAAACUCAAAACAGUUUAUGGACCUAAUGAUAACAAUUUAGUGGUCCUUUGACCUAUGUGAAAUGAGGUUUCUUUUUCUUUUUCUUUUGAAUGGAAUAUGAAGGGUAACACUCACCCUUAAUCAACUUACAGUUUGUAAUAACAUAAUGACUUGGCAUCUAAAUUAGGCUUGGUAUGAAUAUUAAUAUGGUCGGUUGUUCCUUGGAUAAUGUAAUGCAUUUGACCUUUGAUUUAACAGCUACAUUUAUUCUGAUAUGCAUAAUGCAUUGUAAACUUGUGAUCCUGCUAAUUUUUUUACAAAUGCAUAAGGCGUACAUGGACAAAAAAAGAAGCUAAAUAGUGAGAGAGCAAACAAAACUAGACAAAUGAGAUAUAUAGAUAUAUCUUGUGCACUGGGAUUUAUAAAUGAUUUCAGUUGUCAAACAUCACAAAUUGUUAUAGUGGGAGCUUCUCUACAGAGAAUACUAGAGAAGAUGCAGCAGUUAAGGACUAGCCUGAGAUGAUUAGUUAGUUCCAUAUUCCACAUUCUCUUACCUCAACCACAACAACAAAUAAUAGCAAUGGUUCCAACACAAAUUCACAACCACUUGCACCUGUCACGACGAAUAAGAGCCUUCCAGGAAAUCCAGAGAAUAGUAGUGACAAUACAGCAUGAACUCUGAUAUCGAGAGUUAUUCUCAAGUUCUACGACUCUCCUAAUUUUUAAUAAUACUCUUACUGCAUCACCAACACAACCCCUUUAAGUAACACCAUCAUCAACAGUUUGUGCGUCAUGGGUAAGAAUAUAUAUACAUAUACUUGUUGUAAGGUAAAAAAAUUGCACUUAUUCCAUGUUUAAUUCAACUUAGAAUUUGUUAGAUGUCUCCUUUACAUCUUAUUUGAUUUCAAAUUCCAUGGUGUUUUUACUUGAGCAGAGAUUAUGCAUAUUCAAGACCAAUUACAUCGGUAGUAUUUCAACUCAUUAUGACUGUUGGGCAUCUUUUCAUUGGUAUGGGAUGGCUCACCGGGCAAUUGUUCCAGCCACUGCAUCAUAGUUGUUUGGUCUCAAACUUUGGUGCACUAUACAAUUUCAUCACUCAGGAAAACCUUGAAGCAACACUGGUAUUCUCUAGUCUCAUUGUCAGCACCAAGUAUGGGAUCACUGCUGUUGCAUUUGCCAAAUGUUGCUAUUGAGUUUCUAAAAUGUUAUGGUAGCAUAUGCUUUUUCCUAGCUUCCAUGAUCAUGGCAGCAUUAUGCGUUCUUGUAGCAAGGUUAUGCACAAUUCUAGUGUUAAGAACAAGGAUUGUUUAUGUCAACCUUAGGUGGUUGGUUCAUAGUGAGAUAUGUACAAUGUUUAGUCUUUUUUAAAUGUGUGAAUAAAUUCUAAAGUUGUAGGAUUCUUUAUA